rnacentral:rRNA from 1 species
CAGCCGCCACGGUAAUACGUAGGGCGCAAGCGUUGUCCGGAAUUAUUGGGCGUAAAGAGCUCGUAGGCGGUCUGUCGCGUCUGGUGUGAAAUCCCGAGGCUCAACCUCGGGCUUGCAUCGGGUACGGGCAGACUAGAGUGCGGUAGGGGAGACUGGAAUUCCUGGUGUAGCGGUGGAAUGCGCAGAUAUCAGGAGGAACACCGAUGGCGAAGGCAGGUCUCUGGGCCGCAACUGACGCUCAUGCACGAAAGCGUGGGGAGCAAACAGGAUUAGAUACCCGGGUAGUCCCUGUCUCUUAUAC